rnacentral:tRNA from 1 species
GGGCGAUUAGCUCAGUUGGUAGAGCGGCUGACUCUUAAUCAGUAGGUCGAGGGUUCGAACCCCCCAUCGCCCA